rnacentral:rRNA from 1 species
UACGUAGGGUGCAAGCGUUGUCCGGAAUUAUUGGGCGUAAAGAGCUCGUAGGCGGUUUGUCGCGUCUGCUGUGAAAACUCGGGGCUUAACUCCGGGCCUGCAGUGGGUACAGGCAGACUAGAGUGCGGUAGGGGAGACUGGAAUUCCUGGUGUAGCGGUGAAAUGCGCAGAUAUCAGGAGGAACACCGGUGGCGAAGGCGGGUCUCUGGGCCGUAACUGACGCUGGGGAGCGAAAGCGUGGGGAGCGAACAGG